UUGAACGCUGGCGGAAUGCUUUACACAUGCAAGUCGAACGGCAGCACGGGCUUCGGUCUGGUGGCGAGUGGCGAACGGGUGAGUAAUGCGCCGGAACGUAUCCAGUAGAGGGGGAUAACGCAGCGAAAGCUGUGCUAAUACCGCAUACGCCCUGAGGGGGAAAGCAUGGGAUCUUCGGACCAUGCGUUAUUGGAGCGGCCGACGUCUGAUUAGCUAGUAGGUGAGGUAAAGGCUCACCUAGGCGAUGAUCAGUAGCUGGUCUGAGAGGAUGAUCAGCCACACUGGAACUGAGAGACGGUCCAGACUCCUACGGGAGGCAGCAGUGGGGAAUUUUGGACAAUGGGCGAAAGCCUGAUCCAGCCAUACCGCGUGAGUGAAGAAGGCCUUCGGGUUGUAAAGCUCUUUCAGCCGGAAAGAAAUUGCUUCUAUUAAUACUAGGAGUAGAUGACGGUACCGGAAGAAGAAGCACCGGCUAACUACGUGCCAGCAGCCGCGGUAAUACGUAGGGUGCGAGCGUUAAUCGGAAUUACUGGGCGUAAAGCGUGCGCAGGCGGUUUUUUAAGCCAGAUGUGAAAUCCCCGGGCUUAACCUGGGAACUGCAUUUGGAACUGGAAGACUAGAGUAUAGCAGAGGGAGGUAGAAUUCCACGUGUAGCAGUGAAAUGCGUAGAUAUGUGGAGGAAUACCGAUGGCGAAGGCAGCCUCCUGGGUUAAUACUGACGCUCAUGCACGAAAGCGUGGGGAGCAAACAGGAUUAGAUACCCUGGUAGUCCACGCCCUAAACGAUGUCAACUAGGUGUUGGGGGAGGAGACUUCCUUAGUACCGUAGCUAACGCGUGAAGUGACC
rnacentral:rRNA from 1 species